rnacentral:lncRNA from 1 species
GGACUCUCAAUGUUCUGAAAUCGUGUGUAAACUUGCCGACGCUGGAACGCGUUGUUUUAACCUCUUCUGUUGCUGCAGUUGCGAACAACGGAAAGCCUCUAACUCCCUAUGUAGUAGUUGAUGAGACUUGGUUUUCCGACCCAGAUUUGUGUAGGGAAGCAAAGGUAUUCUGAUAAACUUUCACUUUAGUCCAAGGUUUUUUAAAUUAAUAUUGCGAAAUAUUGUGGACAGAUGCAACUAAACAAGGUGGCUCAGACAGUUAGAGAGUAGUGUAAGGCACAUAGCAGAGUGUGUGGAAUUGAGAGAGAUGUUGAAUAUGAUGAAAAUGACAAAACAUCUUCUAGCUAUCUCUGUUUUUUGGUUUUUGGAAUAGAAACAGUUUUCAAAACUUAUUUUGAGUGAGAAAUUGAUUUCUGAGAAGUAUAAAAUUGCUAUAGGAAACAGUUUUUAAAACCAAAAAAUGAGAAGGGAAUCAAACAGGCCUAUAUUCUUUUGCUUGGUCUACUUAUAAGCUAAGGAACCAUUACCAUGAACUUGCAACAGAAGACUCUAUUCCUUGCUUUUCUAAGCUCCUAAGCUAAGAGUUGUAGAAGCAUUGAAGUUGAUCUAAAUCUCCUGCUUACCUUUUUCAUUCCUUGGAAAGUUUGCAUGCAUAUCUCUUUUCUGUUCAUUAUUCAGAAUCAGGAAUUGGGAUAUAUGCUUUCUAUCUGAAAGGUCAAUAAUGCAACUUUCCUUGCUACUAUUAGCUUCAAACAUGUAAACAUGUUUUUGUUGAUUAUUUGAUUUGAUCAUGAAUGUGAGUCGAAUGGAUUUCAUGCACAGGGGAUGCUUCUGCUCUAUUAAAUGAUGGUAAGUGUGUAAACUAUAUGACAUUGACAAAAGAUGUUAGAAAAGUAAUAUCUCAGUAUUUUUUGUGAGACUCAUUAUCAUAGAAAAAAUGUAACAAACUGUUUUUAGAUAUUUUCUUGAAAGAUUCAUUAUCUUGUUCUCAUUUUCUGUUUUUUAUUUGAAUAAAGAGAUAAAAUACUUUCAUUGUAAAAUGAUGUCUCUUGAUUUUUUUGUCACUCAUUGUUGUAGGAAGAAGGUGAAUAUAUUGAUUACCAAUUUAGAUUUUUUGUUAUUUUGUUCAUAUUUAAUUUCAUUUGAGUCUCUCUCUCUCUCUCUAAUAUAUGUGUGUUGGGGGAGGGGAUGUGCCAGUGUACUAUACUUGGACUUUAACUGUGUUGGAGUAUUCAUGUUUGUCUCAUGUCCAGUAUUGGUGUUAAAGUCCCUGCCUCAUAGGGCAUUACUUCCCCAAUGAAACAUAGAAAAAAUGGUAAAACUUUGAGAUUCUGGAGUUCAUCUUGGACAUAAAUAUUAGAAACAGAUGAAGUUAACGUGGGUGGCCUUAAUCUAUGUCAGAAGUAGGCUGGAAUUGGUAACUAAAUCUUGUGGUUGUUUUUGCAUUGCCUUAUGGUUUCAAUUUUUAAUCGUAAAAAGAGUGGUAGAUAUGACUGUUGGAAAUUAUAGGUGCUACCAUUGCUGGUGGUAAGCUUAUCACUUUAAGGCUUCAUUGAUUAGUGUGGAACGAGAAUAUGUUUUAACUUUUAAGAGAGCUAAAGUAAAUUGCUUGCUUUGAUAUCCAAAGGACAAAAUUAAGUUCGCAAAGUUCAAUGGAUGUAUCUUUCCAUUGUUAUUUUGACAAAAGACAAUUUAAAAGGGAGGAAAAGCAUACCAGGAUAGGCAUGAUGAUUUCUUCCCAAACAAACAAGCAGAUAAAUAUGUCUUUAAAGAAGAUUAUAAAUGAAAUAUUGCUCUUUACUUCCACUUAUGUGUGAGUCAAAUCCUUCAAAGAAACCAUUGGCUGAACACCAUCAAUAGUUUAUAUUCUUUGCUUUCCAAAGCAUCUAAGUGCACAAAUGCUGUUCACAAUAUAACUGAUAUUUCCCCUAUCAUGUUUUGAUGUUCUAGCCUUAUUGUAUGCUCACUAACAGUUUGCAAUUUAGAUGUGCUCUUAUAUUUGGGUCCUCUACAGGAUUCUGUAGUCUACUCAAAGCAUCAUUUUAAUGUCAUCUCUUGUGAAGAUUAGUUCAUAUGAUUAAAUUGUGUUGGUUGUAAUUUUUAUGCACCUGUUUUUUUUACUUAUUUUGUUGCGUAGAUGAGCCACUAAGCUGCUUCUCACAUUUUGUUAAUAUUAUAUGAGAACAGCUGCUAUUGAGCUAUAAUGCUGAUGUAUUUUUUUAAAUGUCAACAAAGUGUAACAAUUUAUCAUGUAUAUUAUGUUACUAUGUUCUUCACAUUUCUUGCCAUUACCUAUUUAUACUUCAGAGGUGGUAUACACUUUCAAAGACUUUGGCCGAAGAUGCUGCCUGGAAAUUCGUAAAAGAGAACAACAUUGACAUGGUUACUAUUAACCCAGCAAUGGUGAUAGGACCUCUCUUGCAACCAGUCCUUAACACAAGUGCUGCUUCAAUUUUAAACAUAAUUAAUGGUAAUUACUAUUUGUACAUUAUGCUGUAAAAUUUCUAUUAUCUGCUUUGUCUGUAUCUGGAUUACACAAUGUUCUUUUUUCAACUGAACUAUUUUGUGGAUCAAACAAAAUGAAAAGGUAAAUAGACAAUAUUGAAACGAAAAUUCAAAUAGAAUAUGAAAAGGAGGGUUAUAAUAAUAAUUAAUAAGUUCAAUCUGAAUGUACAAUUGUACCUUGAGAUAUUAGAUAUGGGCAUCUUAAUCAUGACAAUUAUUGUUGAGCUACAUAGUAUUACUAUGUUCCCUCUUUGUAGCUUAAUUAUUGUCUAAAGUCAGAAGUACUACUGGAAGGGAUUAUUAUUGUGGAAGAAUGAAGACAAGUAUGCUGAGUGAUUUGAAGAUGUUGUUGGGUGGGAUUAGUUGAAGAUGCAAAAUCCACUCUAUGGUUAUAGCCCAAAAAUGUGGGGAAAUGUGAUUUUUGUUGAAAGUAAUAGGUUUGUGGCUUUAUUUGGAUAAAUAGGUUACUAAAAGGAUUUAUGUAUUCUGCUGCAAUAACCCAUGAAGCUAUUCAGCGUCAUUGAAUCUACCAUCAGCAUAAUCCAUAACUCUGUUCAAAAUUUACAUGACAUGUUGAAGCAUGUGAGAAUUGACAAAUUUCAUCAGAUUAAAGAUUGAAAUGGGACAUUUACUUAUACCAUCUCCAAACCAAGUUGAAGGAAGCGUAGAUUCUUACAAAAGCUUUGCUGAAGUCAAACUUUAAUUCUAAUGUCAGCAACUCAGGAAUGGCUGAUUAAAUUAACUUGACAGGGUGCAUGGAAAAGUAAUCUAAAAAAUAGAGACAUACAAUAUCUCAUAAUCAUAGCAGUCAUAGUCUACUAUCUUUUUGAGUUAUAUAGUUGUUAUUUUAAUGAAUAUUAAUAAUUUCUACUUGCUUCCAAUAUACUUGAUUUUCCACUGUACAAAUCUUAGAUAAUUGAAGUAACAGUUCCAUCGCCUUGAUACAGGUGCAGAAACAUUUCCAAAUGCAUCUUAUGGUUGGGUCAAUGUGAAAGAUGUUGCAAAUGCCCAUAUUCUAGCAUAUGAGAAUGCUUCAGCUAAUGGAAGGUAUUGUUUGGUUGAGAGAGUGGCACACUACUCAGAAAUUGUGAAGGUUUUACCUGAUUUGUACCCGACAUUACAACUUCCAGAGAAGUAAGUAUAAUUAUUUUGAUAAUUUCAAGAAUGCAUACAAUUCAUAUACAUGAACGCAAAUCUCCAUCUGCUAUAGCCAGUUGUUUUAGUGUUUUAUUUACCUGUUUGAAAACAAAAUUUAGUGUUGAAAAUGAAGACAUGAAGCAUUGAUAUUAGUUGAAAGAAAGAAUUUAAAUUGGAAUACAUUAUUUGAUGAUAUACAAAACCUUUAGAUUAUAUAGGCUAAGACAACAUAACAGCCUUCCUAAACUAGACUAUAUAUGGGGUAACUACCCAUUUGUCUUAAUUUACAAUAUCAAUCUGUCAAAAUUUACAACAAUUACGAUAAAUUACUUUACAAUUGGUGUGGGACAAUUACUCCCCUUUUAGCUGUAGAUUGGAUAUCUUAUGGCUUGUUCGGACUUGAUGAACUUUUGCUACAUUUCAUAUGUUACUUAGCUCUCCUAAGACGUAGCUUGUAUUUAUUAGUGUAUGUAAUACUGAUACAUAUUCAACUCUUGGUGCAUAUUUGAGACACAUGGUUUCACCAUAGUUAUGAUAAUCUAAUGACUAACACCUCCCCACUAUUUUUACUUUUCCAGUAUAUAUUUAUAGUCAUGCUAACAUAUGCAGAACUUUUCAUUUGGAAUUAAUUACUGAAUCUUAUGUUCCUAAGAUAGGGCCAAGUAUAAAAACUUUGCAUGUAUAGGUCCUUCAAAUGUUAUUUUGUAUGCAAAAUAUUUAGGUUAUGGGUCCAACGUCACUCUUCAUUCGAUCUAAUUUUGUGUUUGCAUUUAUAUAUUAUAAAUAAUUCAAGUUUUUCUUGUUUUGAUUUUUCUAAUACCAUUUUCUCUCUGUCAACAAUAUUAUCAGGUGUGCAGAUGAUAAGCCAUAUGUGCCAAUAUAUCAGGUAUCCAAAGAAAAGGCAAAGAGCUUGGGGAUUGAAUAUACUCCUUUGGAAGUGAGCCUCAAGGAGACUGUGGAUAGCUUGAAAGAAAAGAAGUUUACCAACUUUUAAUUUGUGAUAUCUCCUAGAGGAGAAAACGUUAAUAAUAGAAACCUUGUGUGGUUGGUCACUUGGCUUGUGAUGCUCAUGCUUCUGAACAAACUUACUAUUAAAUAAGACUUAAAUCAAGAUUGGUAUAAGUACUGAAAGAAGCCAUUCUUGGUCUGAUUUGUACCGGUGACAAUUAAGUUUCAAACAUGCGUUUCCAAGUAAAGUUUGCAUUACAAAUUGUAUCCUCGUUUUUAUUAUAUUACUAGGAAAUGUCUGAUGCAACCAAUGUUGUUAAAUAACUGUUAUGGUUAGCGCCAUAACACUAUAAUGUGGCGAUUUUGGACCCCUUUGCAAUUCCCCAUUUGUUAUUUGUCGUUGUAUGGCCGGCUGCCAUAGUGCCUGCCUGCCACAACGCCCAUGACAAAAUUUCCCCUUCUUUUUUUUUAUCAUUUUUAAAAAACCCUUUUAAAGGUUGCUUCAUACUUAAAAGUUAAAACAUAUCAUACCCCAUUUCAAUGUGUAUUUGCUCUUUCUCUCUCAUUGGUCUCCUUCAUAUGUGAAACCUAUGGAUUCACUUGCCUUCUCUCUCUCUCUUUUUAUCAACAAAAAUAAUAUAUAUAUAUAUAUAUAUAUGUUGGGUUGUGACUAAAAUCCAUAUGGCAGUUAAUUCGGUUAUUGUUUUUCUUGUUCUGCCAUUUUCUGAUCCUUUGUUUAUAUAAGGCAAGACUGCUCUGUAAUUGGAAUGAUCUUCCCUUUUGAGUUGCAUCAAUAAUAAAUAGCUCUCUGUUCCCUCCCGUGGAUGUAGCCUAAUCAAGGGUGAACCACGUAAAUUCUCUGCGUUCUUUCUCUCAUUUCUCUCUUUCAUUUUACUGCAAAUUCUGUGUAUGACAUAUUGUUCUGCCGUUGCUGUUGUUCUUGUUUUUUCUUCAUCACUUUCAUAACAAACUGGUAUCAAGAGCUCAAGUUGCGAUCAAGGGAAUUCAAGAUUCUCGUUUGAAUACGAAGAUCAAGUUGUGCGAGUCUUGUUUCUGGUAUCUUUCGCUGCUUCAUUGUGAUAAAAAAACACUCAAGAAAUCAUGCCAAACACAAUCAGGAUUAAGAAAUUCAAUGGAAAGAAAAGCUUCAAUCUGUGGCGUAUCAAGAUGCGUGCUUUGUUGAAGGAACAAUGUGUUUGGGCUCCUGUUGCUUCUGCAUCUAUGAAGAAACCAGUGACUUCUGAAUCAAAAGAAAAGGCCUCUGUUUCAAAGACUGAAGAACUCGCGGAACAAGAAGAAAAUGCUCACUCACUAAUCUUGCUUUCUUUGUCUGAUGAAGUUUUAUAUAAGGUUGCUAAUGAAGAAACUGCAAGUGGCUUAUGGCUUAAGUUGGAAAAGCUAUAUAUGACCAAGUCAAUCUGCAACAAGCUCUUCUUGAAAAGGUGUCUAUUUGGUUUACACGUGAAAUAAGGUACAUCUCUUAAGGAUCAUCUUGAUGAACUGAACUCUAUUUUGAUGGAAUUAAGAGAUAUAGAUGUUAAUAUAGAGGAUGAAGAUGCUGCCAUGAUUUUGCUAGCCUCUCUACCACCAUCAUAUGAGAGCUUUGUCAAUUCUCUUAGUGUUGGUAAGGAAUUUGUCACCAUGGAGGAGGUGAAAUCCAACUUAUAUUCAAGGGAACUUAGAUCUAAAGCACCUGGAAAUUCUGAAGAAUCAAAUGGUUUUGGUCUUGUGGUCUCUAACUCUAACAAGAACAUCAAGAAAAAGUGUUUAAAGGAAAGAAGAAGACUCAUGUCAAUCCAAAGGACAUUUGUACUACUGUAAGGAGUCAGGUCAUUGGAAGAAAGAUUGUCCUAAGAAAAAGGGCAAACCAUCUGUUGUUGUUGCCAAGGAAGGUUCCACAUUUGAAAAUAAGCAUGUUCUCUCAGUUUCUGAUCACCACCAACAUUCUAAAGAUCAGUGGAUAUUAGACUCUGGCUGUUCCUUUCAUAUGUGUCCUAACAAAACCUGGUUUGACACCUAUGAAGAGAAAUCGGGUGGAAAUGUCUUUAGGGGAAAUGAUGUCUCAUGCAAGACAGUUGGAAUUGGCACAAUAAAAAUCAAGAUGCAUGAUGGAAUUAUCCGAACACUCACUGAAGUUAGACAUGUUCCAGAGCUGAAGAAGAAUCUAAUCUCUAUAGGUAUUAUGGAUGGAAAGGGGUUCAAAUGCAACACUAAAAAUGGGGUCAUGAAAAUUCAGAAAGGCUCUACAUUAGUGAUGAAGGGUAUAAAGAGGGGUAAUCUCUAUAUACUUCAAGGUACAACAUGUAUUGAUGAUGAUCUAGUAGCUGUCUCAUCAAAGUUUAAUAAGAGCAUACUGACUUAACUCAAUUGUGGCACAUAAGGCUUGGUCAUAUGAAUGAAAAAUGUAUGAUGAUACUCCAAAAACAACAGCUGUUGGGAAAUCAGAAACUGGAUGAGCUUAAAUUAUGUGAACAUUGUGUUUUCGGCAAGCAACAUAGGAUUAAAUUUCCUAAAGCAAUUCACACCACCUAAGGAACUCUUGAUUACAUUCAUGUUGACUGCUGGGGGCAUGCAAGAGUACCUUCACUAGGUGGUGGAAGGUAUUUCCUUUCCAUAAUUGAUGACUACUAAAAAAUGACAUGGAUCUACAUCAUGAGUCAGAAGAGUCAAGCUUUCAAAUGCUUCAAAGAAUGAAAAGAACUGAUUGAAAAACAAACUGAAAGGAAAGUUAAAAGACUCAGAACUGACAAUGGCCUAGAGUUCUGCUCAACAGAAUUUAACAAAUUCUAUAGAGAAGAAGGAAUUGUUAAAAAACUUACUGUUAGGAACACUCCUCAGCAAAAUGGAGUUGCUGAAUGAAUGAACCGAACACUUCUGGAAAGAACAAGAUGCUAAUUGUCUAAUGUUGGCCUCAACAAAAGUUUUUGGGGAGAAGCUAUCAAUACAACUUAUUUUCUUAUCAAUAGAACACCCUCUACUGCUAUAGGACUUAAAACUCUUAUUGAAAUCUGGAAUGACAAAACAACAAACUACUCAAAUCUAAGAGUAUUUGGCUGCAAUGCUUAUUAUCAUGUCAAUCAAGGAAAGCUGGUACCUAGAUCAAGAAAGGCUUUGUUCAUGGGUUAUGGUGAUGGGGUGAAAGGUUAUAGGAUCUGGUCACCCUCUGAAAGGAAAGUUCUUCUCAGUAGAGAUGUAAUUUUUGAUGAAUCACAUCUGCUCCAUCCUAAAAUUGAGGUUCCAAUUACUGAAACACAGAGUUGUCACUCUCCUCAAGAAAAAGAUGUAGAAUCUAUAACCAAAGACUCAGAAAAAGGGGGUCAUAGAGAUACAUCUCCUGUAGUUCUUCAAGAAGGUAAGUAAUCAGAAGAUUCCAGUGCAAAUGAGUCUCAUCAGAAUGCUGAACCUGAGCCUGCUCAACUCAAUCCUAGAAUCAGUUAGAGACCUAAGAGGGUCAUCAAGCCUCCUGAGAGAUAUGGCUUUGAAGAUAUGGCUGAUUAUGCUUUACAUGCAGCUGAAGAAAUAGAUUCAAAUGAACCUGCCACCUACAAAGAAGCUAUCAAUCAUCCUGAAGCUAAAAAUUGGUUGUUAGCUAUGAAAGAGGAAAUGGAAUCUCUAUAUAAGAAUCAAACCUGUAAACUUGUUGAAGUACCUAAAGGAAGACAUGUGGUAGGUUGCAAGUGGAUAUUCAAAAGGAAACCUGGUCUUUCAGAAAAGGAAGGGAUAAGAUACAAGGCUAGGUUAGUUGCCAUGGGAUUCAGCCAGAAAGAAGGAGUAGAUUGCAAUGAAAUAUUUUCACCUAUGGUUAGACAUACAUCCAUCAGGGUUUUGCUUGCUAUAGUGGCAAACCAAAAUUUGGAACUUGAACAGCUUGAUGUCAAGGCUUCUUUUCUCCAUGGAAGAUUGGAAGAAAAUAUUAUAAUGAAACAACCUGAAGGGUUUGAAGUUCAAGGAAAAGAAAUGUAUGUAUGUCAACUGCAGAGGUCCUUAUAUGGACUGAAACAAUCCCCAAGACAAUGGUACGUGAGGUUUGGCAGCUUUAUCACCAACCAAGGAUUCAAGAGAAGUCUCUAUGAUUGUUGUGUUUAUCACAACAAGGUGGAGGAUGGAUCAAUGAUCUACCUUCUACUCUAUGUAGAUGACAUGCUUAUUGCAGCUACAAGCAUGUGUGAUAUACAAAAUCUGAAGAUCCUCCAGGGUGGUGAGUUUGAUAUGAAAGAUCUAGAGGUUGCAAAGAAAAUGUUAGGAAUGGAGAUCUAUAGGGACAUAACUUAGAAAAGGCUAUUUUUGUCUCAAAAGGAUUGCAUUCAGAAGAUACUUGUGAGGUUUGGAAUGACUGAUUCUAAAACUAUCAGUACUCCCCUUUCAAAAAAAGAGAAGUUGUCUGCUAUGAUAAAGGUUCAAGCUCAUGCUGAUUAGGACUAUAUGUCAAAGGUUCCAUACUCAAGUGUUGUCGGCAGCCUCAUGUAUGCCAUGGUCUGCACCAGACCUGACCUUGCUUAUGCUGUUAGCAUGGUUAGUAGGUUCUUAAACCAACCUCAGAAGGAACAUUGGAAGGCUGUGAAGAGAAUUUUCAGAUAUCUUAAACGGACUACAGAUAUAGGUUUGAUCUAUGGAUCUAACUUGGAUUGUUGUCUCACUGGCUAUUCUAAUGCUGAUUUUACUGCUGAUCUUGUCAAGAGAAGGUCCCUAACAGGGUAUGCUUACACCCUUUGUGGCUGCUUUGGUGAGUUGGAAGGCAACACAUCAACAUUUUGUUGCCCUCUCAACUACUAAGGCCGAAUAUAUGGCUCUUACUGAAGCUGCAAAGGAAGGAAUUUGGCUAAGAGGUCUGAUAAAUGAUCUCGAAAUUAAUCAAGAAUAUGCUAACAUAUACUGUGAUAGCCUUAGUGCUAUAUGCUUGCCAAGGAUCAGGUUCAUCAUGAUAGAACCAAGCAUAUAGAUGUUAGAUAUCACUUCAUUCGGUCAGAAAGAAGAAUUAAGGUUCAUAAGAUCAGUACUCUGCACAAUCCUGUUGAUAUGUUCACAAAACUAGUCCCAAAGAGUAAGUUUGAUCACUGUUAAGCUUGCUCAAUGUUGAUUGUUGGGGUUAAGUUCAUGUGUGUUUGGAGGGUGCAGUUUAUGUUUUAUAUGGAUGUUAGUUCAAGGUGGUGGAUUGUGACUAAAAUCCAUAUGGCAGUUAAUUCGGUUAUUGUUUUUCUUGUUCUGCCAUUUUCUAAUCCUUUGCUUAUAUAAGGCAAGGCUGCUCUGUAAUUGGAAUGGUCUUCCCUUUUGAAUUUCAUCAAUAAUAAACAGCUCUAUGUUCCCUCCUGUGGAUGUAGCCUGAUUAAGGGUGAACCACGUAAGUUCUCUGUGUUCUUUCUCUCCUUUCUCUCUUUCAUUUUAUUGCAAAUUUUGUGUAUGACAUAUUGUUCUGUUGCUGUUGCUGUUCUUGUUUGUUCUUCAUCACUUUCAUAACAACAAUAUAUAUAUAUAUAUAUAUAUAUAUAUAUAUAUAUAUAUAUAUAUAUAUAUAUAUAUAUAUAUAUAUAUAUAUAUAUAUUUCGAAGUACCAGAGGUACAAAGAUACAUAGUUGAGAUAGACCAAACAAUUGGUUCCGUAUAUCAGACUUAGCAUAGUCUCGAUAGGAACCAAACGAUGGCUAUGAACACAAGGCUGCAUAUACUGUUAUCCUAUGUUGCUAUCCUCAGCUAAUAGACAAAACCACUCCUAAUAUUACUCAACCAUUGGUUAAAAUGUAUUGUAAAAUCUUUCUCCAAACUUCUAAGCCAAGUUCAAAGUAAGAAUAUUGCAUCUUCAAACACUUUGUUGCCAUUUAAUGUUGCAUUGGCAAACAAUAUGUUGUUCCUAUGCUGCCAUAUGGACCAUGUCAAAGCUAGUCACCAGCACUACCACCUAUUGACCCUUAUUCCCUCAGCCAAAACAGAUGCAUGUUAGAGAAAAUGUUGAUUUGGGGUUUGUGGGAAAACACCUUGUAUAUUCAGCCAAGACAGGGAUUCCCACCAAAUAGGUUGGAUUUUGUUGCAGUGGAUAAACAAAUGGGUUGAAUCCUCCUCCAUGCUUUUGUAGAAUGGACAAGACAAGUCAUUGAUCUGCACUUGCCGCCUUUGUAAAUUUGUUCUUGUUAGCAACCUAUCUCUAAGUAACCUCCAGACAAAGACUGAGAUUUUUCUUGGGAUCUUUAUUUUCCAUAGUUCCUCAAAACACUCAUUUUGACUCCCCUCGGUUGUUUCCCCCCUUAACAUAUGGUAAGCACUUUGUCCCGAAUAAUUGCCGCUUGGAUUUGCCUUCCACACCCACACAUCACUUCUAUGUUGUUGUAUUAUCUUGCCUUCAACAUCUCUUAGGAAACUAACAAUUGUGGCAAUCUCAUUGUCAAACAGUGGCCUCCUCCAUAUGAAAUUCCACUCCCAUCCUGUGUCCUUUUGAUCUCCCAUCUACCUAAUGAUCUAAUUUUGCUGGCAAGAAAUGAGAUAUAAUCUAGGGUAUUUUGCUGAUAAUGUUUCCUUCCCACUAACCCAUCUAUCCUCCCAGAACUUGAUCCUAUCACCACAUCCAACCUUCCACAUCGUUCCAUUAGAGCCCGUCCCUGUUGUGUGUGAAGAAAAACCAUUUUAAAGUCCCUCCACCAUAUUGAUUCAUUGGUAACUCUAGAUGUUGUAUCCAGGCUCCUCCAACCACCAUAUUUUGACUCCAAUACCCUAGCCCAUAGUUGUCCUUGAUGCUGAAAGAGAUUUCAUUUCCAUUUGCCAAGCAAUGCAAGAUUGAAAGUCUUAAUGUCCUUGAGGCCCAAUUCUCCUUUUUCUUUUGGUAGGCACACGGUCUCCCACUUAAUCCAAGCAAUCUUGUUAUGCUCAGGUCUGCCACCCCAAAGGAAUCUUUGUUGUAAGCUCACUAUCUUGUCCACCACUCUAUUAGGGACCCUAAAAAAUGAAAAGAAGUAAAUGGGAAUCGAUGUUAGUACCGACUGUAUAAGGGUCACUCUCCCCCCAAAGAAAACGUGUCUUUGCUUCCACUUAGCUAGUUUUCUCUCACACUUAUUAAUGACAGGAUCCCACAACUGACAUCGCCUCGGGUUUUCCCGACUAGGUAUGCCCAAGUACACGAAAGGAAUGGCCAACAAACUACAAUUUAAGUAAUUGGCUGCUAGUUGCUUCCACUGAUCAGGCACUCCUAUUGCUCCAAAACUGCUUUUUGCAAAGUUAAUUUUGAGACCUGAUACGAGUUCGAAAGUCCUUAGGAUAGCUUUGAUAGCCUUGACAUUCUCCAUUUUUUCCUCACCAAAGAAAAUUGUGUCGUCCGCGUAUUGAAGUAUGCUUAUUCUUACAUUGUUUGAGCCCACUGGAAAACCUGUGAACAAGUUUUUCUCCAAAGCUUUCCUCAACAACCCAUUUAGAGCUUCGAUAACCACAUUAAAGAGAAGUGGCGCUAAUGGAUCCCCUUUCCUGAGUCCUCUUUUGAUGAGGACAUGACCAAGAGCAAGGGCAAGGAUCCACUUGAAGGACUUGGAGGACCUAUGACAAUCAAAGGACUUUCACAACUUUUGUGUGUUGCCCUCGUCGGAAAGAGUGAUUCUUUCCUUCCUUUCAUCUUCAACCUUGUUCUUUCAAACCACAAUUCCAAAAAAUCCACCUCUGCCCAGAAUUAUCUUGUUGCCAUAUCUCUCAUUUUACGCACUCAAAUUAAGUGAUUCUUGAGCCUAAAUUGAAUUUCAAAACGAGACCUUUCACCUCGUUUUGGAAUCACCUCAUUUGGAGCUUUGUAGCUUAAGUUAUUGUCAUUUCUAUAUUUCUGUCCAGCCACCACUUAACCUACGUUUUACCAUCCCAUUCAUACAUUUUAUGACAAGAACCACCUUAUUAAGAACCACGAAAUUAACCACCUUAUUUUCUAUCCUUUCCUUAAUCAAUUUUUGCAUUUUUCAUCAAGGUUUAAUCUUAGAAAAUCCUAAGUCAGCCCUUGUGCCAUGAGGGUUCAUAUUAGGCUUCCAUUCACUAGAACUGAAAUAGAUGCAGAUCUUAAACACCCGUCAAUCCAUUUGAUCCAUUUGGAGCUAAAGCAUGUUCUUCUCAGCAUGUGUAACAAGAAAUCCCAUGAUAUUGAAUCAUAUGUCUUCUCAUAGUCUACUUUAAGCACAAGGCAUGAUUUUUGGCUCAUUUUAGCUUCUUCGAUCACCUCAUUUCCUAUCAUCAUACUGUGUAACAGAUGUCGACCCCCUAUGAAAGCAGAUUGGGUUUCAUUAAUUAUGAGUGGCAUCACCAUCUUCAUUCUUCUAGCCAACAGCUUGGCCACUAUCUUGUACAUACAGCCUAUUAAAUAAAUAGGUUUGUAAUCAUUUAGGAGUUAUGGGCCAGCCACCUUUGGAAUUAGGGCUAUAAAAGAUGCAUUACAACCCCUUGGGAAAGUUCCAUUUGCAUGGAAUUCAGCUAGAAACUGAAGGACAUCAGGUUCGAGUAUAUGCCAAAAUUUCUUGAUGAACUUGAAGUUUAGUCCAUCUGGGCCUGGACUUUUGUCACUCCCAUAGUCCUAUAUGGCCUGUCGUUACUUCUUCCUCCUGAAAAUAUCCCAGCAGCAUAUCAUUUUGUGGUUGACCAAUAGUUUGAAAAGAGAUUCCAUCCAGCUGGGGUCUAUGAUGCACCGGUUCUUGAAAUCUUUGCAAGAAAUACAAUCUGACUUCCUCUUUCACUCAUGCUGGCUCGUCAAUCCAAGUUUCAUCAGACAUGAUUCCUUUCAGAGAAUUGUUCCUGCGAUUAGCAUUCAUCAACAAGUGAAAGUAACAUGAAUUGCAAUCGCCUUCUUUGAUCCAUCUAGACCUCACCUUUUGCCUCAUAAGAGACUCAUGCAAUUGAGCAGGUACCCACAAUGCUUCCUGUAGCUAUUUCUUUGUCAACACUUCAUGGGGAGAUAGUUGUCUGUGGAUUGUAUCAUCUUCCAUCUUGUUUAAGUCUGCCUCAAUCUUCUUGACCUUCUUAAGAGUAUCUCCAAAAUGUUCCCUAUUCUAAGUCUUCAGCCUUUCUUUGAGUCUUUUUAUUUUUUCUUUAAGCACAAAACCUCCCCAUCCCCACUGUUGAUUAGAAUUCCAACAUUUCUGAACAAUUGUCUUAAAUGAGUUAUCCAAGAGCCAGCAAUUUAGGAUCCUGAAAGGUUUGGGGCCCCAGUCUAUAAACUUGGACCUUAGAAGAAUUGGACAGUGGUCUGAGAAAUUUCUAUCCAAUGUAAAUUAGGUACUUCCAGGCCAUUUAACAAGCCAUUCAGGGGACACCAAGAAUCUGUCCAGCUUGCUCCUAGAAGCUCCAUUGAGUUUGAACCAUGUGAAUUUUCUUCCCACCCAUGGUACGUUAUCAACCUCCAUGUCUUCUAUCCAGUCAUUAAACUCCUUUAUGUUGCUUUCCCCUAACCCCUUCUGACAAGUUCCCAGCCUUUCUGUUGGAUCUCUAAUGUUGUUGAAGUCACCCAUUAUGCACCAUAAACCCCCAGGGUUUGCAUUUUUCAGCUGCUUGACAUUAUCCCAUAAUGUUCUUUUAUUUUGAAUAUCACACGGUGAGUAAAUGGUACUAUAUUGACUUGAUGUGCCUCCUUUAACCAUUGUCCCUUCAAUAAAAUAAAACCACUGCCAAUGACUUUCCUUUGUAGCUUGAAAGUUUUUUCACUCCAUAGACAUAAAAUGCCUCCUACUGUGUUAGUUGCAGGUUGCAUCUCCCAGCUAACAUCAAAAUCCCACCAUAGUGCUUGGCAUGCGGAUUUGACAAUUAUUUCCUUCUUUGUUUCCUGAAAACAGAUCAUGUCUACAUGCUCCUUCUUGACCAAUCUUCUAAUUGCUCCCCAUUUCACCCCCAUCCCUAAUCCUCUAACAUUGUAGGUGAUAAUAUUCAUGGGGUAGAGCUUCUAUUUCCCAACCUCUCUGCCUCCUUCUUGUCUCUUUCUUCCAUUGCCCUUAUUUUGUCAAUGAUUUCCCCCUGCUCUGACCCUCCUGUUUCCCCCAGUUGUUUAGCCAUGUUCCAUAUAGUUGUUGCCUCUUGUAGUUGGUGAUUCCCUGAAUUUGGGUCCUCCAUUUCAUUCUAUGGUGUUGUUCCUACCAAGGAAACGUUGUUAUCGUUAAAACCAGUCCCUCCUUGGUCUCUGUCCAAUAUUUGCUUUUGUUGUGGGUUCCUUGUGUUUAUUUCUCUAGCUGUAUCAGUGUCUUCAGUGUUUGAACAACCCGCUUGUGGUUUCUUUAGGUACCUUCUAUUUCGUGAGUAAACCUGCCAUGUAGUUGUGGAAUCACCCUUUUUAAUUUGUGAGCUAAGGCCAUAGUGUGCUGAGUUCUUAGAUGGGGUAUGAAAAGAAAAGCCCAGCCCAUUAUUAAAAUCUCCUUCAGCCCUCUGUGUGUCCCGUGAUUCUGUCCCAAACAAAAUUUGUGGCCCUGCCCCAUCAUUGCUCCCUUUUUCUGCUUGUUUUCUGUUUUCGUGACUAAAAUGCUCCCCCUCUGUGGGAUUGGUGUUUCCAACAUGUUGCGCCUCACCCACUUUGCGUGCAGCCUCAUGUGGGUAGCUAUGGCUUGUCUCCAUCCACUGACGUGCCGCCUGACCAUCAUCCACUCUCCCUUUGGUGUCACCUCAUCUUCCUUUCUAGAUGUUUUCCGUUAUCCGAGAACUUUUUCUUUUACCCUACGGAUUUUCUUUAUCGCUUUGACUGCUGGGUAAUAUGGAGGUCCCCUGGCUAUUGUUGUCGGUGUUAGGAUUGAGAGUGGUCCUUCGCGGUUCAACUCUAGUUUCCGGAUCCUCCAUGUCUUGCAGCUCUAUUUCUUUCUCCCACGCAUUUGCAUGCCCCUGAAUCAUAGUGCCGAAGUCGCUUUCAACGGACUCAAUCUCCUCUGACGACACCAUGGAACUCCGGAGUCUGUAAUGGCUAUCAUGGGUGCCGAAACCGCAUUCCUCCACCAUGUGUACUUUGUGGAACUCCCUGCCAAUGUGCACGUUAACCAUGUGCUGAAUUGCAGGCCUCCAUUGAGUUUUAAUUAGCACCCUAGCUCUAUCCAUCCUACGACCUUCCUCGACGUCAUCAUCCACCUCCACUAUGUCUCCAAUGGCAGCCACUAUCUUAUGGGUUUGUUUCAUGUCCCAGGUCAUUAUCGGAAUACCCCAGCAUUGAACCCAGGUUAACCUGAAACUAGUGCGCAGGCUCGGGCUCCACUUCUCCAGCGAGUGGAACAUCGAAACUCCUCCAUCGUUUUCUUCGUUGAGCAUUUGUUCUGCUUUGGCAUUAGUAAGGCCAAGCAACAAAACUAGAUCAUCUCCCAUAUACUUGGGUGUUAUGUACACUCUGAUGUCCCACAGUAAGUCAUCUUUGAUUCUCUCGAAACUCACUAGAUUUUUUAAUUGUCCUACCCAAACUUCGCUGAGCCAUUUCUUCUCGUCUGGUGCAAUGUCGAGAUGUACCGUUGAGGAUGAGCUUUCGCGACUGUGAGGUUCGUUGUUUUGUGCCUUUCUUUGCCCCGAAAUCCAGUUAUUUCUUGCCACCACCACCGAGUAUGAAGCUGAGUUUGGUCGUUGAUAUGGUUGUUUACCUCGAACUGCUUCAUUUUCAUUUCUCUCCUUCUGCCCCUUUAGUUUGACUCCUGAAGCUUCCUAUCUCGACAUCUCUCUCCCAUACUUUGGGAUGUUAACAUACAAUUUCAGCCCAUCGACCAUGAUCUUGUCUAGUUGCAUUGCUAGUCUCUGGACAUCGUUGACCCCCUUAAAUCUUGUGAAACCGUACUUCCUGCCAUUGUUGUUUCUCGAUUUUGGGAUGAAAAUCUCCCUCACGUCGCCCCACUUUUUGACAUGAUGCCAUAAAUCCUUCUCGUUAAUGUCGUCGGAAAAGCGUGUGAAAUAGAAGGAUGAUACAUCCUUGUGGUCCCUCCAAUUUGAUCGAAUGUAGUAUUACUGGUGUCCUUUCCUGUUUCCAGCAGAUGUCUGCCGAGGAUCGUCACGGAAACUCACUCUUUGUCUCUCAAUAGCCUUACCUCUAGUCCUAUCUCUCUCCCACCCAGGGUUUCUCUCUCUACUCAUUCUCUCUCUUCUGUUCGAAUAUAUAAUGAAUAUUUUGCAUUCAUAUAUUUAAUAAAAAAUUGAAUGCCACAACUACUUGCCUUCUCUCUUGGAACCUUCUAAGUUGUGGCCAAGCAACUCUAGGGAACCUCCUCCGAUGACCACCCUCAUUGGCGACCUGAGUGUGGUUGCUCUUGUUCUUCAUCUAUUCAAUGUUUUUGUACUCUAUUUUUUCCUUCUAAAUUUGAAGAUUUAGAUCUGGUUUUUAGAAUUUCAGAAUUUAGUUCUAUCUCUUUUAGAAUAUCAUAAUCAAUCACAAUAUAUAUAUAGAGAGAGAGAAUCAGGUUGUUCUAUGUUUUUUUGAUAAACCUAUAAUGUUCCCAACUCUUUUUCACUUAUAGAACGAUGCCAAGCACCCAAAAUCACAUUCUUUUGUGACUUGUGAUAUUUGUUGGAUUUUUGUCCGAUUUUGUUGGGUUCAAUUUAUUUUUGUUUAUGUAUAUAACAAAUGCAUUUAAAAACAAGUGUAAUUCCAAAAGAGCAUUGACAUUGUUAUUGUUCAGGUUUUAUACAUCAUCUUGGUAUCAAUUCAUAAAUUUCAAAUGUACAAAUUUGUUACCUAUCCCUGCCAAGUGUAUAGAGUUUAUUACAAAUCAAUUGAUGUUAUUUAUCCUAAAAUCACUUUUUAGCAAACUUACCGAAAUCAAAAUUGAUUCGAAUUAUAAUUGAUUAUAACAAUGACGAAUUAUACAUAUAAAGAGAAGGAAAUUAAUGCAUAGAUGGUUUAGCAGCUCAUAGCUAUGCUUAAGAAUUUUUUUUGUGGUUUGAUAAUCUUCCUUUUUUUGUGAAGAAGCAUUUUAUAGAAAUAGGCUUGGCCUACCUAACUACAAGUUCUCUUGAUGUAGCGUCUUUUUUUGCAUGGGUAUUGGUUUAUAUCCCCCAUAUUCUUCUAUUUUCCUUUUUCUCUUAUUUAUAUGAUAUUCAGGUAUUCUUAUGAUGGCUGAGGUAGGGAGUACCAACAUAGUUGGGAUGUCCUACCUAAUUGUUACUCUUUAGUUCACUUUUUUUUUUAAAAAAAGCAUACAUAUAAUUAAUUAUUGAAGUAAUUUAAUAUUUGUAACUAUCCCAAACACAUCAUUACAAUAUUCCUACUCCAUUGUAAAUACAAUAAUUUUAUUGUCCAUUGUCUGGUCUUUUCUCUCUAUAAACUUAAAAAGUAUAAGGAAACAUGUUUCCUUUAGUAUCAAGGCCUCCUCUAUUCCUUGGAUGAUCCUUAGUGUUGUUCCUUGGCCAUGGUGUCCCUUCUCCUUGGCCACGGUUUCCUUUAGUAUCAAGACCUCACCUUUUCGUGUCAAUGGCAUAAGUUUUUUCAACAAGAUCAUAAGUUAUUGGACAACCUCAACACCCUGUCAUUCAACUGAGGAUUUUAUAACCUUCAAGGUUCCAGGCUCAGCUUGGAACUUCUUGUGUUGUUUUGCUUGAUGCUGAGAUCAAUAAGCAUGGGCAGCCAAAACUCUGUCUAAUGCUACGUCUCUUUUGUUGAGGGGGGAUUCUUGAAGUUUGUACUAAUGUUUUCCAUUUAUCCUACAAACAUCUAUAGGUCAAAUCAUGUGGCAAUUAAGCAAUGCUAUUUGCAUUACAACACAUGCCUCAUAUAACCAAGGUAAAAUCUCUUUAGAAUCAAAGGAACGAUAUACAUAAUCAGCAACUUAGCAUCACACCACCUACACAUAAAUAAUGAAAUAAGAAAAAUCUCAAUAUUGCAUCUAUUAGGAGUGAUCAUGGUAGAGAAUUUGAAAAUAAGGAUUUUGAAUAAUUUUGUGAUGAAAAUGACAUUGAACACAAUUUUUCUGCACCUAGAAUCCCUCAACAAAAUGGAGUAGUUGAGAGGAAAAAUAGAUCUUUAGAAGAAAUAGGCAGAACUUUGCUUAAUGAUACAAACCUUCCUAAAUAUUUAUGGGUUGAAGUUGUAAAUAUUGCAUGUUAUAUAAUGAAUAGAGCUUUAAUUAGACCAAUCCUGAAGAAAACUCCCUAUGAAUUGUAUAACGGAAGAAAACUGAACAUUUCUCAUCUUCAUGUGUUCGGAUGUAAGUGUUUUAUGCUAAACAAUGGGAAAGACAACUUAGGUAAAUUUGAUGCAAAAUAUGAUGAAGGUAUAUUCCUUGGCUAUUCCUUGAAUAGUGAAGCAUUUAGAACUUAUAACAAAAGAACUAUGAUUAUUGAAGAAUCUAUCCAUGUUGCCUUUGAUGAAACUAAACCUAUAAGGCCAAGAAAGGAAAUUCUUGAUGAUAUUUCAAAUUCUUUAGAAGAUAUGCAUAUUCAUGUGGAAAAGCACAAAGGCAAAGGAAAUGGAAAUGAUGAAGACUUUCAAAUUGAUGAAACAAAAACAAGUACAAAUCUUCCAAGAGAUUGGAGAACUUCAAGAUACCAUCCUCUUGAUAACAUCAUCGGUGACAUAUCUAAAGGGGUAUCAACUAGACACUCUCUCAAAGAUGCAUGUAAUGAUAUGGCUUUUGUUUCUUUAAUUGAACCUAGAAAUUUAAAAGAAGCCAUAAUUGAUGAACAUUGGAUUAUUGCUAUGCAAGAAGAGUUAGAUCAAUUUGAAAGAAAUAAAGUUUGGGAAUUAGUUGACAAACCCGAUAAUCAUCUAGUUAUAGAAACUAAAUGGGUAUUCAAAAACAAAUUGGAUGAACAUGGAAUAGUAAUUAUAAAUAAGGCUAGGCUAGUGGCCAAAGGAUAUAAUCAAGAAGAAGGACUAGAUUAUGAGGAAACCUAUGCUUUAGCAGCAAUAUUAAAAGCCAUUAGAAUGUUAUUGGCUUUUGCAUCCAUAAUGGACUUCAAACUCUAUCAAAUGGAUGUUAAAAGUGCUUUUUUAAAUGGUUUCAUCCAAGAAGAAGUAUAUGUGGAUCAACCUCCUGGUUUUGAAAACUCAGAAAAGCUCAAUCAUGUCUUUAAAUUGAAAAAGACUCUACUCUAUAUGGUUUAAAACAAGCCCCAAGAGCUUGGUAUAAACGUCUAAGCAAAUUCCUUUUAGAAAAGGGCCUUUCAAGAGGAAAGGUUGAUACCACUCUUUUUAUAAAAAUAAAAUUGAAUGAUAUUCUCUUAGUACAAAUAUAUGUUGAUGAUAUAAGUUUUGGGUCAACUAAUGAUUCUUUUUGCAAAGAAUUCUCUCAAGAUAUGCAAAAUGAAUUUGAAAUGUCAAUGAUGGGUGAGUUAAAUUUUUUCCUUGGACUGCAAAUAAAGCAAACAAAUAAUGAUAUAUUUAAUAGUCAGUCCAAAUAUUGCAAAGAACUAAUUAACAGGUUUGGGAUGGAAAAUGUUAAACACAUGACCACUCCUAUGAGCACUUCUUGCUAUCUAGAUAAAGAUGAAACCAGUCAGUCAAUAGAUAUAAAGAAAUAUAGAAGUAUGAUCAAAUCUCUUCUUUAUUUAUCUGCAAGUAGACCUAAUAUUAUGUUUAGUGUUUGUAUGUGUGCAAGAUACCAAGCAAAACCCAAAGAAUCUCACCUUAGUGCAGUUAAAAGAAUAAUGAGAUACUUAUUAGGCACUAUAAAUCUAAGAUUAUGGUAUCCUAAGAAUUCCUCUUAUAAUUUAAUAGGAUACUCUGAUUCUGACUUUUCCAAAUGCAAAAUUGAUAGAAAAAGUACUAGUGGAACAUGUCAUUUUAUUGGUUCUACUCUAGUAUCAUGGCAUAGUAAGAAACAAAAUAGUGUUGUCUUAUCCACUGUUGAGGCGGAAUAUAUUUUUGCUGGAAGUUGUUGUGCACAAAUACUUUGGAUGAAACAACAACUUUGUGACUAUGGAUUAAUACUUGAUCAUAUUCCCAUUCAAUGUGAUAACACAAGUGCAAUCAAUUUAUCUAAAAAUCCUAUUAUGCACUCUAGAACAAAACAUAUUGAAAUAAGACAUCAUUUCUUGAGAGAUCAUGUUCAAAAAGGGAAUUGUGUACUAGAAUUUGUUGACACAAAGAAUCAGUUAGUUGAUAUCUUUACAAAACCUCUCCCCAAAGAAACUUUCUUUGCUAUUAGAAGAGAAUUAGGACCCAUAGACAUAAAUAACUUGGACUCAUAGCCAUUUUGAUUGUUUAUAAGAAAUUGUCUUUGAUGGUUGUUACUCAUGCUUGUUUAUAAUGAUUGUUUCCUUUGAUUAAGAAAAAUGAUUGUGUUUGAUAGUUAUCUUUUAUGGUUUAUUAUAAUGAUUGAUUAAUUUUUUUAGAAUGAAGUGCUUGUGUUUGCUAAUGAUUGUUUUUUAUUGACUAUUUUGAUUAUUUUUUAUGAUCGUGUUUGAUAGUUAUGAUGAUUGUUUAUUUUAUUAUAAUGUUUUGAUUGUUUAUAAUGACUAUUUUUAAUGGUUAUUUUGCUUGUUUAUGAUGAUUGAUUAUUUGUCCUGAUUUAUAACAUUAUCUAUCUUUAAUUUCCUUGAUAUUUCAAACUUUCUGCAUUGGGUUUCUUUCGAAUUUGCUUCUUUAUAUUUCUGUUUUUGACUUGGUUGUUUUGUGACUGCUUUGGAUAUUCCUCUUUGCUAUUUAAGCCUUAAUGUGUUUAGCACUUGGUUGAUUCCUCUUUGAAUGAUUGUUUCUAUUUCGGUGCUUUCGUCUUUUUGAUGUUGCCAAAGGGGAAGAGAAUCAUGUAAGGUACAAGGUAUAUAUGUAUUUUUUUGUAAACUAUUUUCUGCUAAGCAAUGAUUGCAAAAUUAAGGGGGAGUGAUCCUCUUGCAAAAGAAAUAUUUUUCCAUAAAUAAUUUCAGUUGGUUGUCAUCAUCAAAAAGGGGGAGAAUGUGAAUAUAUGCAUAUAAAGGUUUUGAUGAUGCCAAGACAAAAGCAAUACAAAUUUUAUUUCAAGUCCAAAUCAAGACCAAGAAAACAAAGAUCAAGAAGAAAGCUAAGUCUUAGUCUAUCUUUGUUAAAAGAGUCUCUUAGUGAUUGCAAACGUUUAACCUCACAACAUAGUUUUUAAAUUGGUUAUAAAAAGGUUUUAAAAUAUUUUUAACAUUUUUGAAAAAGAUAUUUUUCCACUAGCAAUCGAUUACCAGACAUUAUAAUUGAUUACUAGAAGUAAAAUUAUUUUAAAAAGUUUUUUCAGAAAAUUUGAAAUUUGAAUUUGAAAUUGAAAUUUUAAAUUUUAAAUUUUAAAAGUUACUCUGAAAAGUCACAUCCCUUCCUAAGUUUUUGGGAAGCCACCAAAAGCCUAUAAAUAUGUGACUUGUCUACAAAAAUCUUCAGAGUUUUUCAGAAUUUCAUUGUCUUGUUCUCUCAAAAAUAAUCCUUUGGCCACAAAUCAAUUAAGGAUUCUUUUAAGUUCUUCAAUUUGUUGUAUUAUUCUUCCCUAAAAGAGAGAAAAACUUAUGUACUUCAAAAAGAAAAUUGUUGUUGUGAUCAAGAGGUUAUGAGUCUCUUGAUUUGUGAGUUUUUCUUAGCACAAGCGAAAUGAUUCCGAGAUGGUUCAGAAGUUGUAAAAGAAUUUCACAAGGGUAGUGAAAAUCUCAAGUGGAUUGCUUAAGGACUGGACAUAGACACGGUAAGUGGCCGAACUAAUAUAAACUGAGUUUGCACUUCUCUCUUCUCUUAUUUGAUUUAUCAAUUUAAUUUUGUCUUGUGCAUUUAAAGAGCAUCGAUUAAAUUGUUUAUUGCUUCUUCUUCUGCUAAAUCUGUCAUAUAUCAUUUAAGGAGAGAAUUAAAGUUUGUUAGGAAAAAAAUUUAAAAUUUAAUUCACCUCUCCUAAGUUAUUGACGCUAAUUAUCUAACAACUUGUUUGCUUUAUGUAUUAUUAUUCCUCUCAACUAUUUGUGUUUUAAUACAUCACUAAUCAUAAUUAUCUUUACUACAUUCUUUGUCAAAGAUGGACAAAAUAUUAGAACGUUUACAACUCGAUUACUUGAGUUGAGAUGCCCAUGAGCAAAAUGGCUACUCCAACUACCACCCACCUUUUGUUUGGAUUUUUUAUUCCUUGUUUUGGCCGAGCGUGUCCAUACAAUAAGUGUUUUUUAAAUAAAAGAUGUCCACAAACACCCUAUAAAAGAUGUCCAGCUAUGUUUCCCUGUCACUUUCGUCAUUUGGUUGUUGGUACUUUUCCCAAAAUAAAAUAAGUGUUUUCUAUAUAAAAAAAAGUGUUAAGUAAUAUAUGAAUUAAAUAUUUUUUACUUUUAUAAAUAUGAUUUAUUUGGUUUAAUUUUUUAAUUUUAAUACUUAUAAAUUUUAAUUUUUUUAAUAGUCUCUAUUGACUAUUUAGAGGUGAUAUAUUAUUCUUUUUUAAUUCUAAUACUUACAAAUAUGAUUUAUUCGAUUUCCUUAAAAAAAAAAAAAAGAGGCGAUAUAUUAUAUUUUAGUCACAUUACAUUAAAUUGAGGGUGUAGAUAUUUUUUAUACUAUUACCUAAUCUUAGAUUUUUACAAAUGAUAAAAUUAUUAAUUUUUAUAAUAAUAUUAUUAAAAUUAUAUUUAAUUAAUAAUUAAAAAAAUUAAAUAAAAAUUUACAUUAAAUAUGUGCAACGUUACAUUAAAUAUGUGCUACGUUGAUGCUAAAUUAUUAUAAUAAUUAAUUAUAAUAUUUUUUGUGUAACAAACCCAAUUAUUUCUUACCUUUUUUAUGGAAAACAAAAGAUACAGGACCAGAAACCUCUAGAGAAAUAGAUAUGAUAAAAAAAUUGUUUUUAUAUAUUUAUUCCUAAAUCAAAUCAACUAAAAAAACAUAUAAUUUUACCAAAAAACCAACAAAGCAUGAAUACAAAGACAAAAUGAAACCUACUACUAGUUCCAGUUGAUCCUGCGUUUACAGCACUACAGUUCCACAGCAUUAGCCAUUAGCACUAUAAAUAAAUAGAGAACACGCGAAACACCUGAUUCCCCUCCCCAGACGCCGCAGAGUCAGAGAGAGAGAUUCACUGAAACAGAGCGCAGAAGAAAAUACAUAAACUAAUCCAGAAAAUGAGCAGCGGCGCUGGAAAGGUGGUGUGUGUCACCGGCGCUUCCGGUUACAUUGCUUCCUGGAUAGUCAAAUUCCUCCUCAAUCGCGGCUACACCGUUAAGGCCACCGUUCGCGACACAAGUCCGUCACCGCUACUCUCCUUUUUUUUUUUCUUCAUUUUUUGUUAUUUUCAUUUCCUUGGUAUAAUCAUUGUUUUAAUAAUGUAAUCAUUUCAUUAUAUAUAUAUAUCUACUAUAAUUUUAUAAUUUUUUCAAUUUUUUUUUCCUAAUAUUUCUAAAUUUCCAUUUUUCUACUUUACAAAGUACAAAGUAGAUCGAUAGAAUAUCGAGUUAAUUUUCAUUUUUUCUGUCACUUGUAAUUUUUUUGUUAGCAAAUGUUAAUAGUUAGUUUUUGCUUACUAGAAAUAUUGAAACUUAUGAUCUCUUUCUUUUCCUUCAACACGGAAGAUAGAUAGAUCUCGAGAUUCUGUCUCCUUGUAUUUCUAACAAAAUUAAGCCAAUUAAAAAAAAUAUCAAAAUUGGUUCGUGCAUUAUGAUUAUUUUAUCUCAAUGAUUAAUAAAUUAAUUAAAAGAUUGAAUAAUGAAUAUGUAAUGUGCAGGUGAUCCGAAAAAAAUAAACCACUUGGUUGGCCUCGACGGUGCUAAGGAGAGGCUGCACCUCUACAAGGCGAAUCUUCUCGAAGAAGGUUCCUUUAACUCUGUCGUUCAAGGUUGCCAUGCUGUGUUUCACACUGCUUCUCCCUUUUAUCACAAUGUCAAGGACCCCCAGGUUUCUCAUUUUUUUCCAUUUUUUUUUUAAUCUUUAACUACCCCUUUGAUUGCUACUGUUACAAAAACUUUGUCUUUUAGUCCCUACUACUCUUGAAACGUUAUCUUUUAAUCUUUGCACAACACCAUUUUUAUUCUCUUUUAGUUUUUACACGUAUCAUAUUAGUGCAUGCUUGGAUUAAAGUUUACAGACUUGAGUUUGCAAAAGCAACCCAAGCCUUGCCUUUGCAAAACAUAGUUUCCAGGCAAAACUCUAUUGUGCAAACGUACUUUUGAAGGUAAUCAAACAUGUCAUGUCACCGAGGUCCUCUCCAAAAUUACGUUUACACAAAAGUACCUUUUGAACGGGUUCGCCAAACAUGCCCUUAAUCAUGUUUGCCCCUACAACGAGGACUAAAAGUCUAAAAGGAUUGAAAUGUUAUGUGUAGAGUCUAAGAAGGGGGUGUUUCUAAGUAAAGUGACUAAAAGGGAAAAAUCUUUUUCAUAUGGGGUGGCUGUAUUUUUAUAUUUGUAUUUUUAAUUGCAGGCUGAAUUGUUAGACCCAGCUUUGAAGGGGACUCUCAAUGUUCUGAAAUCGUGUGUAAACUUGCCGACGCUGGAACGCGUUGUUUUAACCUCUUCUGUUGCUGCAGUUGCGUACAACGGAAAGCCUCGAACUCCCGAUGUAGUAGUUGAUGAGACUUGGUUUUCUGACCCGGGUUUCUGUAGGGAAUCACAGGUAUUCUGAUAAACUUUCACUUUAGUCCAAGGUUUUUUAAAUUGAUAUUGCGAAAUAUUGUGGACAAAUGCAACUAAACAAGGUGGCUCGGACAGUUAGAGAGUAGUGUAAG